rnacentral:rRNA from 1 species
AGCGGCGGACGGGUGAGUAACGCGUGGGUAACCUGCCUUGUACACACGGAUAACAUACCGAAAGGUAUGCUAAUACGAGAUAAUAUGCUUUUAUCGCAUGGUAGAAGUAUCAAAGCUCCGGCGGUACAGGAUGGGCCCGCGUCUGAUUAGCUAGUUGGUAAGGUAACGGCUUACCAAGGCGACGAUCAGUAGCCGACCUGAGAGGGUGAUCGGCCACAUUGGAACUGAGACACGGUCCAAACUCCUACGGGAGGCAGCAGUGGGGAAUAUUGCACAAUGGGCGAAAGCCUGAUGCAGCAACGCCGCGUGAGCGAUGAAGGCCUUCGGGUCGUAAAGCUCUGUCCUCAAGGAAGAUAAUGACGGUACUUGAGGAGGAAGCCCCGGCUAACUACGUGCCAGCAGCCGCGGUAAUACGUAGGGGGCUAGCGUUAUCCGGAAUUACUGGGCGUAAAGGGUGCGUAGGUGGUUUCUUAAGUCAGAGGUGAAAGGCUACGGCUCAACCGUAGUAAGCCUUUGAAACUGGGAAACUUGAGUGCAGGAGAGGAGAGUGGAAUUCCUAGUGUAGCGGUGAAAUGCGUAGAUAUUAGGAGGAACACCAGUUGCGAAGGCGGCUCUCUGGACUGUAACUGACACUGAGGCACGAAAGCGUGGGGAGCAAACAGGAUUAGAUACCCUGGUAGUCCACGCCGUAAACGAUGAGUACUAGCUGU